rnacentral:misc_RNA from 1 species
AAGUCGUAACAAGGUUUCCGUAGGUGAACCUGCGGAAGGAUCAUUAACGUGUUCUCCGACGGCGAGGGGCGCCCCGCUCCGGUUCCCGAAAGGGGCCGUGCAGCGGGCGCCCCGAACCGCUCGACCUUUGCAAACCCACCGUGCACCUUUGUCGGCGCGUAGGGGCCCUCGCGGCCCCGAGAGCCGGAUCACAAACACGAACGAAACCGAAUGUAUGCGGACGCAGUUCCGCCCAAACUUUGACAACUUUCAACAACGGAUCUCUUGGCUCUC